GAUGAACGCUGGCGGCGUGCCUAAUACAUGCAAGUCGAGCGAAUGGAUUAAGAGCUUGCUCUUAUGAAGUUAGCGGCGGACGGGUGAGUAACACGUGGGUAACCUGCCCAUAAGACUGGGAUAACUCCGGGAAACCGGGGCUAAUACCGGAUAACAUUUUGAACCGCAUGGUUCGAAAUUGAAAGGCGGCUUCGGCUGUCACUUAUGGAUGGACCCGCGUCGCAUUAGCUAGUUGGUGAGGUAACGGCUCACCAAGGCAACGAUGCGUAGCCGACCUGGGAGGGGGAUCGGCCACACUGGGACUGAGACACGGCCCAGACUCCUACGGGAGGCAGCAGUAGGGAAUCUUCCGCAAUGGACGAAAGUCUGACGGAGCAACGCCGCGUGAGUGAUGAAGGCUUUCGGGUCGUAAAACUCUGUUGUUAGGGAAGAACAAGUGCUAGUUGAAUAAGCUGGCACCUUGACGGUACCUAACCAGAAAGCCACGGCUAACUACGUGCCAGCAGCCGCCGUAA
rnacentral:rRNA from 1 species